UCUUCCCUUCCCCUCCCCGCGGUCGCCUCCGUUUCGUCGCGCCCGCCGCCUCCGCCCCUUCCUCUGCCUCCACCACGAGGCCUCUGACGCGCCGCCUCCAUCGCGAGGCCUCCGCCUCAUGGAGUAGAAUUAGGGCGAAGGCGGCGGGCGCGAAGGGUGGGGAAAGGCGAAGGUGACGGGUACGACGGGCAGGGAAGGGGCGAAGGCGGCGAGGUGGAGGCGUCCUCUCCGCCCCACGGAGCAGAGAAAGGGCGGAGUCGCCGGGGGAGCGAAGGCGGCGAAUAAUUUCGGGAUGGAAAAAACGAAAACAAGGGCACUAUCGGAAAAGAAAAGAAAAGAAAGGGGAGCUUUUUCGUAAAAAUCGCCCUUAUGUCAGAAGUCCCGUGACCGCUCCUCUGCCCCUUAGCCGCUCAAACCCUAAGCGUGGCCCUUUUUUUCGUUGAUCAGAUCUCCUCCUCGGCGCCUUUCCCAUGGGUACCCACCACCGCGACGACUGCGCCGAAAACGGUGGCGACGACAACGGCCAUCUGGCGAAGCGGCCGCGGCCGGCAUCUUGCCCCAUCUCCGCUGCCGAGAUCGCGGAGGAGUUCGCCCACCACGACCCCUCCGUCGCCCGCAUCAACAACGGCAGCUUCGGCAGCUGUCCGGCAUCGGUCCUGGCUGCCCAGCUCCGGUGGCAGCGGCUCUUCCUCCGCCAGCCCGACGAGUUCUACUUCCACCGCCUCCAGCCUGCACUUCUCCGCUCCCGCAUCCUCGUCAAGGAGCUCAUCAACGCCGCUGACCUCGACGAGGUAUCCCUCGUCGACAACGCCACCACCGCCGCCGCCAUCGUCCUCCAGCACGCCUCCUGGGCCUUCUCCGAGGGCGGCUUCCGCAAGGGCGACGCCGUCGUCAUGCUCCACUACGCCUACGGCGCCGUCAAGAAGUCCAUCCACGCCUACGUCGCCCGCGCCGGUGGCCACAUCAUCGAGGUGCCCCUCCCCUUCCCCGUCUCCUCCAACGAGGAGAUCGUCCUGGAGUUCCGAAAGGCCCUGGAGCUCGGGAAGGCCAACGGCCGAAGAGUCCGCCUCGCCGUGAUCGACCACGUCACGUCCAUGCCCAGCGUCGUGAUCCCCGUCAAGGAGCUCACGAGGAUCUGCCGCGAGGAGGGCGUCGAUCAGGUGUUCGUCGACGCUGCCCACGCCAUUGGUAGUGUCGAGGUCGACGUGCAGGACAUCGGGGCCGAUUUCUACACGAGCAAUCUCCACAAGUGGUUCUUUUGCCCCCCGUCCGUGGCGUUCCUAUACACCAAGAAGUGUUCCGCCUCCUCCCGUUUGCACCACCCCGUGGUCUCCCAUGAGUACGGCAAUGGCCUCCCUUUGGAGAGCGCAUGGAUCGGCACCAGGGACUACAGUGCUCAGCUUGUGGUGCCCUCAAUGAUGGAUUUCAUCGGUAGGUUUGAGGGUGGAAUCGAAGGGAUCAGGAAGAGGAACCACGAGAAGGUGGUGGAGAUGGGAAAGAUGCUGGCAGAUGCAUGGGGGACGUUUCUUGGAUCUCCCCCGGAGAUGUGCUGCAGCAUGAUCAUGGUUGGUUUGCCGGGAUGUUUGGGGAUUUUGAGCGAGAAGGAUGCAUUGAAACUAAGGAGCUUGUUAAGAAAAGAAUUCAAGGUCGAAGUUCCGAUUCACUAUCAGCUGCCCAAGGAUGGUGAGGUCGUCGAAAAGGACGGGAGCAGUACUGUCACUGGGUACGUAAGGAUUUCUCAUCAGGUGUACAAUAUGGAAGGUGACUACCAUAAACUUAGAGAUGCAGUCCACAAGCUGGUAAAUGAUGGAUUUAACUGCACAAUGUUUCCAUCCUAAUGAGAAGCAGGAUUACAGUUUGUAGUGCACUACCAUGCUGGGUUGCAGCAAAGUAGAAUUUGGAUUCAGGCAACCAACACCAACCACCAAUACAAAAUGCAGGCGUAGUCAAAUAAGUCAACGACAAGGUGCCCUAGAGAAGGAUUUAAUGUGUCUAUUACGAGGGCGGUAUGGUAUCUAUAGAGAAGCUUCUUUCAGAGAAAGUUAAAAGAGUUGAUAUGGUCCAUUUGGUUCUUAUAAUUAAUAUCAAUCAAAUUAAACA